rnacentral:rRNA from 1 species
UACGUAGGGGGCAAGCGUUGUCCGGAUUUACUGGGCGUAAAGAGCGUGUAGGCGGCCAAGCAGGUCCGUUGUGAAAACUGGAGGCUUAACCUCCAGACGUCGACGGAAACCGCGUGGCUAGAGUCCGGAAGAGGAGAGUGGAAUUCCUGGUGUAGCGGUGAAAUGCACAGAUAUCAGGAAGAACACCAAUGGCGAAGGCGGAUCUCUGGGCCUUACCUGACGCUCAGGUGCGAAAGCUAGGGGAGCGAACAGG